AUGACUUUGAUCUGCGUCCUCAUCUGGACUCUCCUCUGCUGCUGCUUCACAGAGUCCAGAGGACAGGUCACAGUGACUCAGCCUGGAGCAGUGAGGUCUGCUCCGGGAGGCUCCGUCCCCAUCAGCUGUAGGACCAGUCAGGAUGUUUAUGGUGGGGACCGGUUAGCCUGGUACCAACAGAGAGAUGGAGAAACUCCUAAACUGCUUAUUUACUAUACUAGCACUCGUCAGUCAGGGACUCCAGAUCGUUUUACAGGCAGUGGAUCAAACUCUGACUUCACUCUGACCAUCAGUGGAGUUCAGGCUGAAGAUGCAGCAGUUUACUACUGUCAGAGUUAUCACUGGAUCAACAGUCAGUAUGUGUUCACACAGUGAAAAAGCGUCGUACUAAAACCUCCCUCAGUCAGCAGAACAGAAACUGAACUGACUGCUGCAGCUGGAAGCUACUGCAGAGACUGACACACUUCACUGGACACACACAUUGUGCAGACAAACUUUGGGUUGUAUUAAUACUAAGACACCUUUUAAUUCAAUGAUCUAUAAGACAUUCGUGUCCUCAUCCUCUUUUUAU